AGCAGCCGCGGUAAUUCCAGCUCCAAUAGCGUAUAUUAAAGUUGUUGCAGUUAAAAAGCUCGUAGUUGAAUUUCGGGAUCAAUUAAUYGGUCGUGCCUCUGGUACGUACUGRUWYUAUUGGUUUCUCCCUUCUGACGAACCAUGAUGUCAUUAAUUUGGUGUCGYGGAGAAWCAGGACUGUUACUUUGAAAAAAUUAGAGUGUUUAAAGCAAGCUAACGCUUGAAUACUUUAGCAUGGAAUAAUGAAAUAGGACGUUUGAUCCUAUUUUGUUGGUUUCUAGGAU
rnacentral:rRNA from 1 species